GCAGUCGUGGCCGAGUGGUUAAGGCAAUGGACUGGAAAUCUAUUGGGGUCUCCCCGCACAGGUUCGAAUCCUUUCGACUGCA
rnacentral:tRNA from 1 species